UGACGAGCCUAACAGAUGAAACUCCCUCAACAUGCACCAAUAUUGUUAAUGCAGGGGGGCUAAGAAUUUUCGCUGAACUGCUCGAGGAUAACGAUCCCAGAUCAAAUAAAGGGGUUCUCAUGAAUUUGAACAAUUUGACGGAGGUACCAGAAAUUUGCUACCACUUCUUGAACGGCAACUCCGGUGCAGUGGAGUGUCUACUAAAAUUUAUGAAUUCAGAUGAAAUACAU